GCCUAGAAGCAUACAACAAAAUUUGUCAAGAGGUGUUGCCAAAGAUUCACGAAGAUAAACACUACCCUUGUACUUUGGUGGGGACUUGGAACACGUGGUAUGGCGAGCAGGACCAAGCUGUCCACCUCUGGAGGUAUGAAGGAGGCUAUCCAGCCCUCACAGAAGUCAUGAAUAAACUCAGAGAAAAUAAGGAAUUUUUGGAAUUUCGUAAGGCAAGAAGUGACAUGCUUCUCUCCAGG
rnacentral:misc_RNA from 1 species